rnacentral:rRNA from 1 species
UACGAAGGGGGCUAGCGUUGCUCGGAAUUACUGGGCGUAAAGGGCGCGUAGGCGGACUGUUUAGUCAGAGGUGAAAGCCCAGGGCUCAACCUUGGAACAGCCUUUGAUACUGGCAGUCUUGAGUACGGGAGAGGUGAGUGGAACUCCGAGUGUAGAGGUGAAAUUCGUAGAUAUUCGGAAGAACACCAGUGGCGAAGGCGACUCACUGGCCCGUUACUUACGCUGAGGCGCGAAAGCGUGGGGAGCAAACAGG